rnacentral:lncRNA from 1 species
GAGAUUUAUACUUUAAUGUGAUUUUUAUUAUUUAGUUUGUGAUUUCACUUACCCAAAUGAUAGUAGUCUUAUGGGUUUCUUCAAUUUUAUUUUGUUUUUGGAGUUCAAUGGCUAUUAGAAGAGACUGAUAUUGUGUGUAUUGCAAAUCGAUGAAUAAAGUAAAUUUAAAAUUUCAAAAUAUAUAGGCGGGGUGAGAAGAGAUCGAAUGUAGGAUGAACAAAACAAAUAUGAAAUUGGAAAAAAAAUAUAUGUAUGGUGAAAAAAGAAUUUAGGGUGAACAAAGCAAAAAUGAGAAAAAUGUAUUUUAUGUAUUGUAAAUGGGUGAACAAAACAGACUUACAAUUAAAAAUAUAUAAAUAAGGUGUGAAGAGAACGUGAGGUGAAUAAAUUAAUUUUUGAGGUGACAAUAGACGCACCUAAAAAACCAACACGAAGGUGGAAUCUGUCUCUACGACGGUCAAGUCUUAUCGAAAAGCUAUAGACGACCUUAAGAAGCAAGCUGAAUCUGACCGAAAGGAGCGUAAGUCAGACCAGGCGAUCCUCUUAAAGCUUAAUUACAAGUUCAUUGUCACAUCCCGACCCUUAUAUUUUUACCUUAUUUACUAGCGUGAUUAUAAUAAGAAUUUUACCGUCUCCGUCAUUGAGUAAAUAGUUUAAUUGGUCCCUAGAGGGGUUUCGGGGACGAUUAUGUGCGGAGGAUUAUUAGUAUGAAGAAAAUACGACGACGGUAAAAAUAGUAAAUUUUAGCUAGUAAAAGGUAAUUUUUAUUCGGGUAUUAUUUUUCGGGGUGUUGAAUUUUGGAAUUUUGGGUUAAAAGGAGAGUUGGGUCGGCUGGGCCGAGCCCAACCCAUUUCUUCUUCCUUUCUCUCUCUCUCCCUCCCGAUUUUUCUUCUCUUCCCACCCGGUUUUCUCCUUUCUCCACCCGGAAAGUUCUCCACCGCCGUCCGCCGCCGUCCGGCCGCCCCAGACCGCCACACCGGUCCCAAUCAAUCGGUCUCCCUCCCAGCAACAUUUCUAGACCGGUAGCAGCCCCCCUAGCGCCGCCGUGAGUGAGCGGUGCCGCCCGAAAGGUCCGACUGCCGUAGCUCUCCUNNNNNNNNNNNNNNNNNNNNNNNNNNNNNNNNNNNNNNNNNNNNNNNNNNAAAUUUAAGAAGAAUGAAUCAUAUAGUCUUAGCAACAGCAUCAUCUGGAAUAGCGGCAAACAUAUUGCCCGGCGGGAGGACAGCUCACUCCAGAUUCAAGAUUCCCCUGAAAGUACUACCUUCAUCUAUGUGUUCCAUAGGUAAACAGUCUGCACUGGCACAAUUGGUACGACAAUCCACUGCAGUUAUAUGGGAUGAGGCACCUAUGACAAAUCGAGAUGUGUUUGAAUUAGUUGAUCGAACUUUUCAGGACAUAAUGGACGUGGAACUUCCUUUUGGUGGUAAAAUAAUGAUUUUCGGGGGAGAUUUUCGUCAAGUCAUUCCUGUCAUUCCUAAAGGAACAAGGUCUCAACUCAUCGAAGCCUCGAUUAUGAGAUCAUCGUUUUGGCCAGCUACAAGGAUAUUGAGAUUGAGGCAGAAUAUGAGAUCCAUAAAUGACCACCGAUUUGGGGAGUUUCUAUUACGUGUUGGUGAUGGUAGUGAACAAGUCAUCCAUGACGACAUGAUAAGGUUACCAAAAAGCAUGGUGAUUCCAUGGCAAAGCGACCAAUCUAUCUUUCAAAUUAUUGAUAGAGUUUUCCCUAAUCUUGGUGAUCACGCAGGCGAUGCAAGAUACAUGGUGGAUAGAGCAUUGAUUACUCCUUUGAACAACGAUGCAGACAUGUUGAAUGAAAAGAUCAUCAGUAUGUUUCCUGGGGAAGAAAUUUCAUUUUACUCAUUUGACUCUGUUGAAGAUGACAUCCGAAAUCUGUACCAGCCUAAGUUUUUAAAUUCAAUAACCGCAAGUGGUUUACCGCCGCACAUGUUAACUCUAAAAACAGGUGCUCCAAUCAUGCUCUUGAGAAAUAUAGACCCAAAAUUAGGGUUGUGUAAUGAUACUAGAUUGUUAUGUCGUGGUUCCUACCAAAAUUUGAUUGAUGCAGAAAUUAUGACAGGCGAGUUUGUUGGGUCUAGAGUUUUUUUGCCAAGAAUUCCUUUGCAAAGUGCAGAAAAUGCGGGACUACUGUUUCAACUUACAAGAAAGCAAUUUCCAGUCAAGUUGAGCUUUGCUUUGACCAUAAAUAAAUCUCAAGGUCAAACCAUCCCACAUGUGGGAGUUUACCUCCCAGAUCAUGUUUUUAGUCAUGGACAAUUAUAUGUGGCAUUGUCGAGAGGAAUAUCAGAGUCUACCACAAAGCUGUUGGUUAAAAAAGGGUCCAUAGUUGGUGAAGAUGGCAUAUUUACUAAGAACGUCGUGUUUAAAGAAGUUUUGUUUCAUUAGUCAACCAAUAAUGAUAUGUCGUGUUCAUAGGUACUUCAUUCAGUAAAUCAAAUUAAUUGUGGUGUUUACUUUUUAAUUCUUAUGUUUAACGUUUUGAAUUUUUUCUUAUUUGUAGAAGUACUGCUUUUAAUUCUUAUGCUUAACGUUUUGAAUUUUUUCUUAUUUGUAGAAGUACUGCGACAUGAAAGCUCUCAACUAGAGAAGAAGCUACAAAUAGGCGAUGGCUUCAGGCGGCAUGUUUCUUUAUUUUCAUGUGGUUGGCGCAAGGGAAUAUCAGUGACAAUGAACACCGUUGAUCUCAGUAAUCUGAUUCUAAAAGAGUGGAAGAAAAAAAACAAGCACAGUUUGUACUCUUAAACUCUUCUUAUUUUCUUUCUUUUUAGGUAUGGUAAUUAACCACAUUGUUACUAAUUGAAAUUCUUAUAGUUGGAACUACAAAAACGGACGUAGGGAAUUGAUGACACAUGACAUUUCUCACAUUAAACAAACUUGGAGAAAGGUUCUGCGUGUUAGGUAUUCAAAACUAUCUAUUCAAGAAGAUAUGUUUAUUGUUAAUUUUAUUGCAUGCAUCUUCAACAUUCACACCAGUUUUCUUGGCUUUUUAUUUUUAUGCUCACUAACUGGAUAAAUAUAUUUACAGGAAGCAAAAACACAAUGAGCAAUACUCUUUUUUAGUUAAGGUAUUGUAAUUUCACUUAAAUUACUUAACAUCAAACCUUAAUAUAUAAGCAUUAUGACGUCUCCUCUCCAUAUUUACAUGUUUUUUCAUUACAGUUUGACAACCAGCGUCUUGAGAAGUUGAAGCAUAAUAUUGAGGUGAUAAUAUAUAUAUAUAUAUAUAUAUAUAUAUAUAUAUAUAUAAUGAGUUGUUUCGUGGGAUCUAUAUACUUGGUUGAAUGAAUUUAACUCUUUCUAUUACCACAAAACUCUUCUGAUAAUUGGAGCACAGGUACUGCAGCAAUCGAAUUAUCUGAAUUCAUGGUAAGUUUGCUCAGUAUACCAAUAUCUUACUGUUUAAAAUGAAAACUUGGAGAUUCAUUAUCUUACUUAUUUUUUCCUACUCUGAAUCUAUAGUUUAACCAACGGUGGUUGACAAAUGGAUGGCUGAGAUGGAGUUGAUCGGAGCAUGUGGACUUGAUUAGUCUUUCUUUAAAAUUCAUUUACAAAAACAGUUUUAUAAUUGUUGUUAUUAAAAACUUUAAUAAGUUUGCAUCAAAAAUUUAGGCGUUGUGUAAUUUGCAACAUUUUUUUUUUUAAAAUGCACCCUUUUCAUCUUCAACAAUUUUUCCAUAAUUUUUUUUUUAAAUUUGACAAUUUCAAUGCCUUUUUUUGACUGUAAAUGAAUGUUAAAAAAAAGAUUAUUACAUGUCAAAUGAUACAAUAAAGACAUUGUGAACUAUAUGAAUCAAAAUAUAGAAAAAUGAACAUUGUAUGCAUUGAUAAAAGAAAUAGUUAAUUAGUGUUAAAAACAUAAACAAAAUUAAACGCACGUGCGAGCGCGGCCAUUUCACACGCGCAUCGCGCGUGCAGAAAGGCUAGUGAGUUGGUAAAAAAAUAUUUACCACUCAAAUUAGUACCCCACUCUAAUUAGUACCUUGGCGUGAAAUAAAUAUAGAGGUGGAAUGAAAUGUUGAGAACAAGAGUGAGAUAACUAGCAAGGCAAAACUGGUUUACUGAGGUUUAGAAUCACAGAGCCUAUGUUGAUGCUCUGCACAACCUCACCAAACCAGUCAUGGGUCUCUCCUUCUUCCUACCAAUACAUAAACCCAAACCCUUUGAAGCCCCGCUUCAUUUUCUUCAGACCCAAUUCAAGAACCUCUCUUUUUGGCGCCAAAUUUCGUGUCCCGGCGACCACGCUCGCCGGAACU